rnacentral:rRNA from 1 species
UACAGAGGGUGCGAGCGUUGUUCGGAAUUACUGGGCGUAAAGCGCGCGCAGGCGGCUUUUUAAGUCUCAGGGUUAAAGACCGGGGCUCAACCCCGCGUUCGCCCGGGAUACUGGGAGCUAGGGACAUGUAGGGGCGAGCGGAAUUCCGGGUGUAGCGGUGGAAUGCGUAGAGAUCCGGAAGAACACCGGGGGCGAAGGCGGCUCGCUGGGCAUGGUCCGACGCUGAGGCGCGAAAGCGUGGGGAGCGAACAGG